rnacentral:rRNA from 1 species
CAGUAGCCGCGGUAAUGCGGAGGGAGCUAGCGUUGUUCGGAAUUACUGGGCGUAAAGCGCACGUAGGCGGUUAUUCAAGUCAGAGGUGAAAGCCCGGGGCUCAACCCCGGAACUGCCUUUGAAACUAGAUGACUGGAAUCUUGGAGAGGUCAGUGGAAUUCCGAGUGUAGAGGUGAAAUUCGUAGAUAUUCGGAAGAACACCAGUGGCGAAGGCGACUGACUGGACAAGUAUUGACGCUGAGGUGCGAAAGCGUGGGGAGCGAACAGGAUUAGAUACCCCCGUAGUCCCUGUCUCUUAUAC